CAAAACGCACCGGAUUCGCGCCCUCCCCGGAGUUCUGGCCAGGAGGCUCUGGCUGGAUUCCAGUUGUUACAGAGCUCGCUGGAGACUUCCUUCUCCCUGUGGCAUUUUCCCCGCUCCUCUGGCCGCCGAAGGAGUCCUGUGGUGCCGGGCAGGAAUGGGCUGCUUGGGGACCCAACGAGCUCCCAGAGCCUUUCCUGCUGCUUCCUCUACCCCUGUGUUUCGCUAGGCUCUCGAGAUGGACUCAGUUCCAGAUUGCCCAGCCUCACAUAUUCCUUCAUAGCAACACAAAGGGACUGAGACAAUAUAUAAGUUAACAUCUGCCAUGUAGUGGAGGUUCCAGAGAAAAAGUGAGAGAAGCUGAGUCUGCACCCUCAACAUGGAGGAAAUAAGCUCUCUUAGGACCAAGAACAGAGGACAGAGGAAGGACUCCAGCAUGAUGGGCACCAAGGGAUUUUGGUCCUUCUGAGAAAGAGGAGAGACAGGGUCUUCCUCUUUGCCUAAGCUGGAGCGCAUUGGUGUGAUCAUCGCUCACUGCUGCCUCAAACUCCUGGGCUCAUGCGACCCUCCCACCUCAGCCUCCUGACUAGUUGGGACUACAGAAUUGGUUCCUUCCAGUGAGUUCUUGGUCUCGCUGACUUCAAGAAUGAAGCCACAGACCUGUGCGAUGAGUGUUACAGCUCUUAAAGAUGGUGUGUCCAGAGUUUGUUCCUUCAGAUGUUCAGAUGUGUCCGGAGUUUCUUCCUUCUGGUGGGUUUGUCCUCUCGCUAACUUCCAAGAAUGAAGCCGUGGACGUUCACAGUCAAGAUCUAAGCAAACACACAAAUGUGAACAACAGGGAAAGAACCCAUUGACCUACCAAGACAGGCUGCCAACAGAAUUUUGAAGGCUUGCCAAGAUGCUUUUAUGGAGGUAGAGUGAAUGAGAUUCCGUAAGUGCAAAAUAAUCCUUUUAAGACUACCCAGAAAGUAAUAUAAGUGAACUAGUUAUAUAAGAUUCAGUGAGGACUACCAAAACAUUGGGAAGAAAUGUGGAUUUUAUCAUUCAAGGAAAUAUAAUUUUAUUGUAAGAUAUAAUCUUUGUUUUUGUAGUCAAAUAGAAACAUUCAUGCCUUAAUACAACGUUUGGUAAAAAGAACUGAAGAAGACACCAUAGAAGAUUUUAACAAACAAUGAACUCAUUAGCUAAAAGAUUUGUCAUGAAAUAAUGAUUGAUUUAGUUGUUUUCUAAAAUAUUUCUAGUGCCUAUUAGAUGUUGAAGGAGACUUUGAUCAUGAAGUGUGUUCUCUGAGGAGCUGCUAUUUUUAUUUUUAUAUUUGUUUGAAGUGAAUUGUCCUGCUAAUUCUUUAACAUAAAAUAUCUUCAAUUACAUGAUUCAACAUUUUAAAAAGUGAUUAAGACAGAAGAAUAUGUGCUGGGAUUUAUUUUUGGAUCUUUGAAGUAGCAAAGAGUAGCAGAACUCCUUAAUCCAUAGAGUGGUUAUUUUGCUGUAUGAUGACUCUUGUAUUUACUCCCUGAAUUACCCUUUCCACUAAAAAGUAUUAAUGAGACAUUAGUAGGCUAUAGAAAAAAAUACUUCUGAUCUACUUAGAAAUAUUCAUGAGGUUUUCUCCUGGUGGAUUCACAUCAAAUUUUAUUUUUUAAAACCCCAAGUAUUUUUAUUUGAUGAUUAAUAAGUAAGAUGGAGGCUGGUAGGUGGAAAUCGCCAGCAGGAAAAUAAAAUGCUUUGGCUAAGCCGACAACUGCUACUGUCCUCCUCUGUACAGACUCUCCUGCUGAAGACUCACGGAGGCUUAUUUCAAGUCUUCUUUAGUUCAUUACCUGCAUGUUCAAAUGGAGCUGGUACUGUGACUCACAGCUUUCUGUCCAAGAAUGCGAUUUGUACCUCUACAAAUCUUCUACACCUUCUUCAUCUAGUAAACACUUACUCUACAGGUCUCAUCUCAAAUCUAUUACUAUAUGCAACUAUAGUACAUAAGCAAGCCAUUUAAAAAUGUUAAAGGAAGAUAUGCAUUGAUAUGGGUUGGCUGUUUUCCCACCCAAAUCUCAUCUUGAAUCGUAGCUCCCAUAAUCCACACGUGUCAUGGGAGGGACCCAAUGGAAGGUAAUUAAAUAAUCGGGGUGGGUUUUUCCCAUGCUGCUCUCAUGAUAGUAAAUAAGUCUCAUGAAAUCUGAUGGUUUCAUAAUAUAAAGGGCAGUUCCCCUGCACAUGCUCUCUUGCCUGCCACCAUGUAAGAUGGGCCUUUGCUCCUCCUUUGCCUUCUGCCAUGAUUGUGAGGCCUCUCCAGCCAUGUGGAACUGUAAGUCCAUUAAAUCUCUUUUUCUUUAUAAAUUACCCAGUCUUGGAUAUCUCUUCAUAGGAGUGUGAAAAUGGACUAAUAGAUACAUAUAGGUACACAUACAUGUAUACAUAAAGCCAUUCCAAAAGACUUUGCUUCCUGAAGUUUGUAAAUGUAAACAAAUUUAUUGUACCAUCAUUUAGGUUACUACGUUGCUCACUAACAUAGAAACAAUAUCUAAAAUGGGUACUUAUAGGGUUAUUAAAAUAUAGUAUGAAUAUGGCUACUGGAAAAAAGUCAAAGAUAUAUUUUGAGGCCACUACUCUACGUCUCUUGAUGUUCUCUUGUACACAUUUGAUAUUGCACAAAAGCCAAAAGUUUGGACUCCUUUGAUUAAAGGCAAGGUCAAGUAAUCCUGCUGGUUCUACCUCUCCUCCCAUUUCUUAAAUGAAAGGAUGUAGUCAUAUAAGGUGCUGUUUAGUAAAAUGGUGCCGUGAAUUCAGCAUGAAAUGUCUGGGCAAGUGUUUUUCAAGUUGUCACAUAUAUACUAUAUUUAUCUUCCUCCUUUUCCCUCCUCAACCUCAGUCCCCAUCACCCAGUGUUUCAUAAGGUUUUACUUUCUGUAGCUUAUACUGUAAAACCAGGAGUUCCCUUCCUCCUCUCCCAAAUAUAACCUUUUCUAAUAAUAUUAAUUGCACUUUCCCUAACUAUACAUACCUCCCUGGAGAUUUUGAACUGUAAUUCUUUCUCUCCUCCAUUUUCCUUGAGCAUUUUUCAUCUAGUGGAAUAUUCGGUGGCAAAGCUCUCAUUCUGGAAGAAGUUUAGCCAUGUAAGCAUAGAAGAAAUAAGCCAACAAUGGUAAACAUAGUUAAUGCAUGUAGUUAAGUCUUCUAAACAUGUCACUUGAAUGAUGUCACAUUUUGCUUUUUCAAACUAGGAAUCAACAAAAUGGAGGAACAUUUGAGGUUUGUUAAGAAAUUUCCCUUCUUAGCCAUAGAACUAAGAUAUUUUUAAAUAAAGAAGAUCAUAGUGGGCCAUAAAUGAUGUGCCUUUCUAGGAUCCCAAAAUGUUUUAUUGAUUGAAUUAUAUAGAGAGAUUUAAUGGAACCGUGGUUGAAAAAUGCUUUUAAAGUCUUUGAUCACUGGGAUAUCAAUGGAACAAAUGGGUUAAAACAUUUUCAGAAUUUAAUCAUUUAUCUAGGUAACAGGGUUGGGGGUAAAUGGCGGGAGAGAAGGGGAGGGCCGGGGCAUUAAUGAAUAGUACUCCAUGUAAAAAGAAGAAUUGACUAGUAACAUCUGUACUAUUUAAAUUAACAGGCUGGCAUAUAUUGUUGUGCAGGUUUUGCAUUGCCCAAUUCUUGGGGGGGGCGGCAUUCACAUUUGUAGUCAUUAUGGGUUCCUCUAUUUAUAAUGCCAAUUUUCUAGCAGAUGUUGGUUUAUUGCCUUGAGAAACUGUUAGAUUCCUCUAAUUUUUGCAAAGAUGGCUUUGGGAAGUUGAAAGAUUACCUGAUUACUAUUAGAGAAUCCUGCUACCAAUACAUACUUGUCUUGUAUAAUUUGGGCAAAAUAUAAUAUUCCUGAAUCUUAGAUUCCUUGUUUGUAAAAUGUUUAAAAUAUAUCUAAAUGUAAGAAUUGUUGUAGCAUAUAUAUGUGAGUACAUGAAUGUGGCCGUCACAGCAGCUGUAAGUGGAAGAUAUUAUAAAUAUUGUUAAAACCUUCUGAUGUUUUAUUUUAAGCUGAUAGUUUUUCUUUAUGCUGACUUUACAGUGAGUUUUAAACAUACACUUGAGUUUAUCAUUUGUAUAUAACUACUGAUAGAAAUCUGAUGAAAAACACUAAUAGUAGUUUAUAAAAGAUUUUUUUCAAUAUGAACUUUUUGUUUCCAUUGUGAGAAAUUAAAUUUCAAAAUGUAAUUAUUAAAUGUAUGCCUGACUUUCAAAUGUUUUUCUAUAUCCAGCUAAUUAAAAAUAUUUAUAACGUAGUAGUAGUUAAAUGUCAUGUUCGCCUUAUUAGAAAGAAUGCCUUCAAAUCAGUAUUAUCAUGAUUACCAUUUAUUUAACAUCUUCAGUAUGCAGGGCAUUUAUAAAAUCUGUAGAAAUUAAUUUUCUCUAAAUGCAACAAGCUUUAUGACCAGCACUCACUGUCUAUAAAAGAUGACUUGCUUGGCAGAAGAGGAAACAGUUUCUUCAGACCUUCCAGCCACAGUCAGCCCUGGUGACAUUGCAUAUCAGCUUCUAAAGGGCCUCGCACAUUCCUUGGCUUGUGAUGUCCCUUCCCCAUCAUCAAAGACAGCAACGUUGAGUUCCUGAUAUCAUACUGGCUUUUUUUGGGAAACUUCAGGCUACCAUACCUGCUUCAACUGUAGGAGAAUCUUAGUUCUGGAGAGUUGACCCUCCAGGCGAAGCAUUAGGCUUUGAUACAAUUUGUCUGGUACCGGCUGUAGAUCUGGUUUGGGCCCCAGACUAUCUUCCCUGUCCUCAAGAAUCAAAACCAACUUGGAAUGACUCCUGGCCCACUCAGCACCUUUCCGGAAGCCAGAAGAAUGAAGUGCCACACAUAUCAUCAGAGAGAAUUCCAAGGAAGAGGGAAUGGUCUAUAGUGUCUCAAGCCACAUUAAUCCUUCAAGAACAGUGUUAACUUUCUCAGGCUACUGGAACUCCACUUUUUGGAACUGUUAUAUUUACUGUUGGGGAGUGACUUUGGCACCAAGGAGAACUUGGCUCAAAUGAAUGGUUUUGGAUCACACAUCUUCAUGAUUUGGGAAUGAUAUGUGUGUUUAUUUUAUGAAAAAUGUUAGUAAUGAAGCAUUUAAAAUAUAUCAAAAGGAAAAUCUCCAAGAGUUGGUGAAUCAUGCUGUUGCCAAUAAUAGGCAUGUGACAUAACUGAACAUUUCAUCAUCUUCAGUAAAUAAUCAAGAUGAAUCUAAUGUCACCUUUGCAGAGAUGACAUGCUGGGUCUGUGAUCACCAGGGAUCCAAAUGCCUUCGAUCUUGGUGCUGGCUCACAAUCACCA
rnacentral:lncRNA from 1 species